UGCACGUCGCAGUGAUUUGAGUUAAUGAUACUUACGGUAUAUGUGAAAGUUGCUAAGAGUAAAUCUUGGAAGUUCUGUAAGUUCUGUAACUAUGUACAGUGACAGAUAUUAAGGAGACUCAUGGUGGCCGUUCAGCAAUGUAGCCACAUCAAUCAUUGCGUCAGACACCAAAGCUCAUAUAAUGCUGUAUGUCAGUCAUACCUCGGUACCAAAUAAAUCAGUGUGUAAGAAGAGGCAAAUCCCCAGUGAGUGCAGAAUUCAAAUCCCGUUUGCAGAUACCCCACUCUGAAGCAGGGAGCAGAACUCCUUGCUCCUGAAGUGCGCGCUGUGCGUGGAGAUUCCUUCCAGGCAGGACAGUCAGAAAAGGGGGAAAAGGAGAAACUUCGCAGUGGAGAAACUGACAAAAGGCUACUGGCUGGGAAAAGCAUCAGACAAAUUCCCCUGGAGAAGCAGACUGCAACACACCUGACCGGUACUCCUCAAAAUCCCAGACAAGGAAAGUCAAAAAUCGUCACGGCCAAGACUACUGAACCUAGAGACAUGAUAACUGCACGCAGUGAGGUUCCCUGGAAGAGGUCCUGGAACAGAAAAAGGAGAUCCGGGCAAAGAAGAAAACCCGAAGAGAGUGUAUAAACUUUAGUUGACAACAAUGUAUCAAAAAUUAAAAAAUAAAGACAUAAAAAAA